AGUGAACGCUGGCGGUAGGCCUAACACAUGCAAGUCGAACGGCAGCACAGUAAGAGCUUGCUCUUACGGGUGGCGAGUGGCGGACGGGUGAGGAAUACAUCGGAAUCUACUUUUUCGUGGGGGAUAACGUAGGGAAACUUACGCUAAUACCGCAUACGACCUACGGGUGAAAGCAGGGGAUCUUCGGACCUUGCGCGAUUGAAUGAGCCGAUGUCGGAUUAGCUAGUUGGCGGGGUAAAGGCCCACCAAGGCGACGAUCCGUAGCUGGUCUGAGAGGAUGAUCAGCCACACUGGAACUGCGACACGGUCCAGACUCCUACGGGCGGCAGCAGUGGGGAAUAUUGGACAAUGGGCGCAAGCCUGAUCCAGCCAUACCGCGUGGGUGAAGAAGGCCUUCGGGUUGUAAAGCCCUUUUGUUGGGAAAGAAAAGCAGCAGGUUAAUACCCCGCUGUUCUGACGGUACCCAAAGAAUAAGCACCGGCUAACUUCGUG
rnacentral:rRNA from 1 species